CCUAGGCCCCUAAUUUACUAAUCAGUGGUUUUCUGAUGAUGGAUACAACCAAACGAUGCCUAAUACCUAGGGACCUAAGCCUAAAAAGCUGAAGCUAUCCGCCGCUUUUGAUAAUCAAGAAAAACCCAUCACCCGUUGUUCAUCUCCUUCAACGGCAUAUCAUAGACGACCGACCCCCUCCCAUCCAUUCUCCUUCUUCUCCACCCCUUUUCCACUGACCAAACAUUUAACGACCUAGACCUCUGAAGCCACUGGACACACACGACCCCCCUGAAGUCUUUCUUCUUCAAUCUUAACAUACGCACAGCCUUCACCACUCUCCCAUACACAGACGAAAAAUAGAGCAAGAGCUCCAAAAAAUAGUGAAGAGAACGAGAAAGGUUUAAAUUAUGGAGUCAAGCUAAGAUUAUUGAAAUCGCCGCUGUCCGGAGUGGUUUCGAGUGCGAUUCGGAAGUCGAGGUUUACGGUUCCGAUUUCAAUUCUUGUUGUCUUGUUCGUGUUCUGUCGCACUUUCAAAUUCCUACGCCGGUUUGCCCGUAUUCGUUCCUGAAUUUAUUAAUCGAAAGUUGCUUGCACUCAGGAUUUGAGGCAGGUGCAUCUGAUCACCAGUACGACGCGCAGAUUUGAUCCCUAUUUUGAGACUUCACAGUGAGCUGCCUUCUAAGCCGUCCUGCAGCAGCUGGAGUCUUCUUUAUGUUAUAUUUUUUCUGUCUAUUUCCUUUCAUACAGUGGACUAGUAUUCUUUUGUACAUUCUACUAGAACGCCCACAUAUUUGUGAUACCAGGUCUCGACACACACUAGUAGACUUAUGAUUUUGGAUA